rnacentral:rRNA from 1 species
GAUGAACGCUAGCUACAGGCUUAACACAUGCAAGUCGAGGGCAGCAUUUCGCUAGCAAUAGUGAAGAUGGCGACCGGCGCACGGGUGAGUAACACGUAUCCAACCUGCCGAUAACUCGGGGAUAGCCUUUCGAAAGAAAGAUUAAUAUCCGAUGGUAUAUUAAAACCGCAUGGUUUUACUAUUAAAGAAUUUCGGUUAUCGAUGGGGAUGCGUUCCAUUAGUUGUUGGCGGGUAACGGCCCACCAAGACUACGAUGGAUAGGGGUUCUGAGAGGAAGGUCCCCCACAUUGGAACUGAGACACGGUCCAAACUCCUACGGGAGGCAGCAGUGAGGAAUAUUGGUCAAUGGGCGAGAGCCUGAACCAGCCAAGUAGCGUGAGGGAUGAAGGCUCUAUGGGUCGUAAAACCUCUUUUAUAUGGGAAUAAAGUUUUCCACGUGUGGAAUUUUGUAUGUACCAUAUGAAUAAGGAUCGGCUAACUCCGUG